ACUUCUGUACACAUGUACUUUGCUCAGAGUCCACGCUCUGCUCUUGAAGUCACACUGCCAACAGCAGCUACCAUGCCCUACCUUGGACUAUGCUCUCUUCUGCUGCAGCCUGUCUUUGCACAGCAGAACCAAGCAAGUCCUCCUUAGACACAAACUCCUGCUAAGUAUGCAGAUAAACAUUCUUACCUACAUGCUGCUCUGUAGGGCAAGAAAAAUGUGGGUAUGAUUUAUAGUUUUUCACUUUAAACAAACUAUAUUUUAGAUUCAUUCUGUUUCUAGGAAUCCGGUCUAUGGAAAUGCACACAAUCAUGGCCUUCUGUUAUUUGCAUUAGCAAAAGAGGAUGUCAGAAAGUACCUGCAACAGUUAUUUUGGUUUUUCUUUUGUUUUGUUUUGUUUUUUGGUUUUUUGAGACAGGGUUUUUCUGUGUAGCCCUGGCUGUCCUGGAACUCUGUAGACCAGGCUGGCCUUGAACUCAGAAAUCCUCCUGCCUCUGCCUCCCGAGUGCUAGGGUUAAAGGCGUGCGCCUGAGGAAGAUAGGCGGUUGUACAGUAGGAGGCCCAUCCUCAACUGUGGUGUGAACACAUCACAUACUGGUAAGGAUGACAGGAAGCAGACUGAGUGUGAACCUUGAUUCCAUGUGGCACAGGUUCUUCUUCAUGCUCUUCAGCCAGCAUGAACUUCAUCCCAGCUGGGAAGAGUGGUAUGCUAACCUGCCGUGGCCCCUGGCCCUCCACGCAGGGUGCAGGCCUUUUCUGCUCAAGGAUCUUUGCUGCUCCCUUGCUCUUCUUGGAGCAACCCUAGCUAGAGUCCCUUUCUCUCUGCUGCCUGAAAACAGCUCUAUCUGAAGCGCCAUUCUGUCACAAGUGUCCAGGUGGCUACAGUGACCUGAGUAGCACAGUCUGGCUCCCAAUUUCACUUAUCCAUCAAGCUGUAGCUCCGAGGCCACCUUCUCCACAAGUUUACAGAGCAGACAAGUGAUUCUAAUACACUUCAAGCCUGCCCAAGGCUUUCAUGAAGACUCCCACCUAACAUAGUCAGCCCUGACCCGCACUACCAUGCUGACCCCUCAGGCCAUCUCCCUUGGGUCAUGCUUUACUCAGAAAGCAGAGGGCAGGCACCUUCUUCUCACAUGACUCUCAAUGGGAAUGAAGAAACAGCAGUCAUUGGGGGUGUGUGGCACUCAGAGGAGCCUGACAGAGACUCUGUCUUAUGAAUGAUCUUGCCAGUGAGAGUGCAUAACCUAGGUAUAAGCAAGGAGUGGCUCACACCAGGUACUGCCACAGGCAGCCAGGCUGCACAGCAGUGUGAGCAGCUUCUACUCACAUGCCCCUAAAAUUCCCAACUAAAUUCCCAGUGAUGGAGAGUGAGUAUGGAUUGUAAUGCUUCUUGGGUUUCCCUAGAUGUUUCUAAUAGUACAAGCAGAGGACAGAUUAAAACCAUGAUAAACAUGAGUUCUAAGGGUACCAAUGCUUCUUUGUGUUUUUUAGGUAAGGUGUCUCUAAUAGAGUAAGCAGGAGAGAACUGCAUGAAAAGGAAGGCUGUGAUAAGCUACACAAGUGUCAGGAUCUUCUUUGCACAGAUCCAAGAUCUACAAGCAAGUCCUUGAAUGAGGAGGACUCACCGGCCCUGUGCCUAGAAGGCCGCAGAGCCCUCUGUCCUGAGGGCAGGUAUAUGAGACUUGGGUACUUGCUCUGAAGGACUUGGGCACAGGAGCCCUUUUGUUUUCCCCUGGACAUCAGCACAGUCACUGAAACAGACUGGACCAACUAGACAGGUGCCACGUUCAAGGCUAGGGAACUCUCUUCAGGUCAGCUCUGAACAGCUUCCUUUUUCCUAGAUGGUAAGAUUCUAGGUGCUGGUGUGAGCCCUGGCUGAGGUGAACACUUAACCUAAGACGGAGGUGCUGAGAGGAGCUUCCUCCGGUGAGAAGGGCUGUAUCCCGCUGCUUGUCCACCAGCAGGUGGGGCCAGGAUCAGUGUGGUCACUGAAGUGGAACUAGCUGCCCUUACUCUGAUUAGCCAGCCACGUUAGUGGGGAACAAUAUGGAAGCUCAAAGGCCCCACUAUGUCUGUGGGCAGCAGAAAGUAGGCAGAAACAUGCCAUCAUCACUAAAGGGAGGAGCUGUUUUAAACCUACCUUCAGAAAAUCUCUGAAUGCCAGGCAGAUAGCUCUCUCACUUGGGCCCAAUGGCAGCCCUCUGAGGGAACUGAGUCAUGGAAUAGGACCUAGCCAGCCACUCAAGCCCCACAUUUCUAAGUGGCUGGACCUGGCAUGUGCAUCACCACUCAGCAGGACAGCAUAGGGAAUUGGGUUGAGCUGAGACACAUUGUUAGAGGUGUCACAGUGCAGGGUGUGUGUUAGGGUCGGAGGCUUACCUGCUCCCUGACAUACCUGUAACAUCCAGGGGUCGCUUUUUUAGAGCAGUGGCCACAGGGCCAUCUUUCCUGCGCAACAGGGGGCUGCUCCGUCUCUCAGCUACUUUCUGCUUAAGCCUUGAGCGUAAUUUCAGGUUAGGUUCAGAAGCUGUAUGGAAGGAGAUGUUGUUAUAGCCAGGCAGACACAGCUGGGGUCAAGGGCAUCACACUGGUGGUUUAAAAUAUGCACAGCUGGUAAAUCUCCACUUAAGUAUGGACUGGAAGGCAGGGCUCCUCUGUCAGUGGGUACAAGCUCCUGUUAGCCCCAUUAGUGGAUGCAGUGGGUGGCUGCCAGGGCAAUAGGUGUGCUUCCAUUCUACCCUGAGGACAUUACCAUAGUGUCACUGAUUUACUGGACAUAGCAAGAACCUACUGAAGCAUGACAGUCACUCAAUGAGGAUGCCUCUUAAAUAAUGGUCUCCUAAACAAUUCAUCUGUAAUUUUAGAGUAGUGAUGCCUUGAAACCUGAGGAGAGCUUUCAAGGCUGUCUGUCACCUGUGACAUCAUCACAGCUUCUAAAUUACUGGCCUCCUUGUUCACCUGAAGAUACCUGCAUCUCACAAUCCUGAAGCAGACAACAGUUUCAGACCCCAGCAGCUUCUGUGAAGGGCAAUUGAUGCUCCAAAAACCGGGGUGAAGGAUUGGAUAGGCUGCUUCUCUGCACUGAGGCUUCUCUGCACUGAGGCACAGCUCAGACCCUGACCUUCUUUGCUGACACUAAAGGCACAGCUGAGGUUGGGACUUGGUUUGGCUUCUGUAAGCAGCUCUCCUGUGCAGACAGAUUCAUGUAAGAAUCUGCAACUGUGAGGCCAUGACAGACUUCCAUCCUCUUCAGGAAACUGCAGACCCACUUCAUCCCUACUCCUGGGGUGGCACAAGCCAUGAGCUUCACAGUCUAGCAUGGGUUGGGAAAGGGCAGGGACAACCUCUGCAGCCAUCAGCUCUCAGAGAUAGGACAACCUGGGAGAGAUAAGAUAGCCAACAUGUGCCGGGUGGUGGUGGCGCACGCCUUUAAUCCCAGCACUUGGGAGGCAGAGGCAGGUGGAUUUCUGAGUUCAAGGCNNNNNNNNNNNNNNNNNNNNNNNNNNNNNNNNNNNNNNNNNNNNNNNNNNNNNNNNNNNNN
ensembl:lincRNA Gm26720 predicted gene, 26720